rnacentral:rRNA from 1 species
AUUGAACGCUGGCGGCAUGCCUUACACAUGCAAGUCGAACGGCAGCACGGGAGCAAUCCUGGUGGCGAGUGGCGAACGGGUGAGUAAUAUAUCGGAACGUGCCCAGUAGUGGGGGAUAACUGCUCGAAAGAGCAGCUAAUACCGCAUACGACCUGAGGGUGAAAGGGGGGGAUCGCAAGACCUCUCGCUAUUGGAGCGGCCGAUAUCAGAUUAGCUAGUUGGGGGGGUAAAGGCCUACCAAGGCAACGAUCUGUAGUUGGUCUGAGAGGACGGCCAACCACACUGGGACUGAGAAACGGCCCAGACUCCUACGGGAGGCAGCAGUGGGGAAUUCUGGACAAUGGGCGCAAGCCUGAUCCAGCAAUGCCGCGUGCAGGAAGAAGGCCUUCGGGUUGUAAACUGCUUUUGUCAGGGAAGAAAUCCUCUAGGUUAAUACCCUUGGGGGGAUGACGGUACCUGAAGAAUAAGCACCGGCUAACUACGUGCCAGCCGCCGCCGUAAUAC